rnacentral:rRNA from 1 species
AUUGAACGCUGGCGGCAUGCCUUACACAUGCAAGUCGAACGGUAACGCGGGGCAACCUGGCGACGAGUGGCGAACGGGUGAGUAAUGCAUCGGAACGUGCCCAGUAGUGGGGGAUAACUGCUCGAAAGAGCAGCUAAUACCGCAUACGACCUGAGGGCGCAAGCGGGGGAUCGCAAGACCUCGCGCUAUUGGAGCGGCCGAUGUCGGAUGAGGGAGUUGGUGGGGUAAAGGCCCACCAAGCCAACGAGCUGUAGCUGGUCUGACGGGACGACCAGCCACACUGGGACUGAGACACGGCCCAGACUCCUACGUGGGGCAGCAGUGGGGUAUUUUGGACAGUGGACGCAAGUCUGAUCCAGCCAGGCCGCGUGCGGGAAGAAGGCCUUCGGUGUGUAAACCGCUUUUGUCAGGGAAGAAACGCUCUGGGUUAAUACCUCGGGGUAAUGACGGUACCUGAAGAAUAAGCACCGGCUAACUACGUGCCAGCCGCCGCCGUAACAC